UACGUAGGUGGCAAGCGUUAUCCGGAAUUAUUGGGCGUAAAGCGCGCGCAGGCGGUCCUUUAAGUCUGAUGUGAAAGCCCACGGCUCAACCGUGGAGGGUCAUUGGAAACUGGGGGACUUGAGUGCAGAAGAGGAGAGCGGAAUUCCCGGUGUAGCGGUGAAAUGCGCAGAUAUCGGGAGGAACACCGGUGGCGAAGGCGGUUCUCUGGGC
rnacentral:rRNA from 1 species